rnacentral:rRNA from 1 species
AAAAUCCGCUGUACAAUCCGAAGACGUGAUGCGGACCGAAUUAAGAGUAGGGAAGUGUGUGAGCCAUGCGUCAAGAAAAGCCGCUAUUGUUUUACUUAAGCCCGUACCGUAAACCGACACAGGUGGAUGAGGAGAGAUCCUAAGGCCGACGGGAGAAGCAUUGUUAAGGAACUCGGCAAAAUGACUCCGUAACUUCGGGAGAAGGAGUGCCAGCGAGAGCUGGCCGCAGAGAAUUGGCCCAAGCAACUGUUUAGCAAAAACACAGGUCUAUGCAAAACCGUAAGGUGAAGUAUAUGGGCUGACGCCUGCCCGGUGCUGGAAGGUUAAGAGGAGAGGUUAGCGGCAACGCGAAGCUUUGAAUUUAAGCCCCAGUAAACGGCGGCCGUAACGAUAACGGUCCUAAGGUAGCGAAAUUCCUUGUCGGGUAAGUUCCGACCUGCACGAAAGGCGUAAUGAUUUGGGCACUGUCUCAACAAUGCACCCGGUGAAAUUGAAAUACCAGUGAAGAUGCUGGUUACCUGCGCCAGGACGGAAAGACCCCAUGGAGCUUUACUCCAGCUUGAUACUGGGAUUCGGUAUUGCAUGUACAGGAUAGGUGGGAGGCUAGGAAGUGAUAACGCCAGUUGUCACGGAGCCGCUGUUGGGAUACCACCCUUGCAGUAUUGGAUUUCUAACCAGCGACCAUGAACUGGUCGGGGGACAAUGUCAGGUGGGGAGUUUGACUGGGGCGGUCGCCUCCGAAAGGGUAUCGGAGGCGCUCAAAGGUUCCCUCAGAAUGGACGGAAACCAUUCGAAGAGUGCAAAGGCAGAAGGGAGCUUGACUGCGACACCGACGGGUGGAGCAGGUACGAAAGUAGGACUUAGUGAUCCGGUGGUAUAAAGUGGGAUUGCCAUCGCUCAACGGAUAAAAGCUACCCUGGGAUAACAGGCUUAUCACUCCCAAGAGUUCACAUCGACGGAGUGGUUUGGCACCUCGAUGUCGGCUCAUCGCAUCCUGGGGCUGAAGUAGGUCCCAAGGGUUGGGCUGUUCGCCCAUUAAAGCGGUACGCGAGCUGGGUUCAGAACGUCGUGAGACAGUUCGGUCCCUAUCCGGCGUGGGCGUAGGAUAUUUGAGAGGAGCUGUCCUUAGUACGAGAGGACCGGGAUGGACUGGCCGCUGGUGUAUCUGUUGCAUACCAAAUGCAUGGCAGAGUAGCCAAGCCGGGACGGGAUAAACGCUGAAGGCAUCUAAGCGUGAAGCCCCCCUCAAGAUGAGAUAUCCCUACGUAAGUAGUAAGACCCCUUGAAGACGACGAGGUAGAUAGGUCAGAGGUGGAAGUACAGUAAUGUAUGGAGCUGACUGAUACUAAUCGGUCGAGGGCAUGACCG